rnacentral:lncRNA from 1 species
UAUUAUAUUUAGCCGGCCCAUCGCUGUAAGACCUCAGUACACACCCGUUUCCUCCCGAAAUAUCUAGAUCCCCAAAUCUUGGACACCUAGGCUUCCUGUGCUUUAUUCUCUUGUGAUGUCCACUGCUAGUUCUUCUGCAUCCGACCGCCAUUGCCUAACUCCAGCUUACCCACUUCCCCUUGUGCUCUUCCCCAGGUGUCAUCAGUAGGUUCUGGUGCUCGUCUCAAAGAAGCAUCCUCAUGACGGUUGGGUGUUCUACAAGUGCCACAUGAACAGAGUAAGCUCUUCUUCUUGAUCCCUUUCAGGUUUUGGUUACGCAUCCUGGCACGACAUUACUAAUUUUCUUCAUGGUUGCUUAUUUUCCCCAAUUACAGACUGGUUGUAAAUUCUAGCAUUGGGGCUACAGUGCGUGGAGUAUCUGAUUCAGCAUCGGUACCUUGUAGGUGAAGCUGCUGCUGAUGCACUACUGUACAUUAGAGCUAAAAGGGAAGGGUUGGAGCGAGGGAAAGUGGCAAAAGCAACCAUUGCUACAACCAGCAUCUGCAGCAAUGGCGCUGAUGAUGUCGGGCCAUUGAGGAUGACGAAUGCUUUGUUACUGAUAGCAAGAGAGAUGUUAUUCCUCAUGAAGUUAGGCCUUGCUCAGGGUUUGGUGCUCAGGGUUUGGUGCUAUGCUUUAUGAUGCUUUUUGUAAUGUUGAUGAAAUAAUAUCAUCAGUUGCAUUUGUACUCCUCGGUGUAUCAUUGUUUGCCAGCGAUUAAUCUACGGUGGCAUUUCUAUCAGUGUUGUAUCAGACGUUCGAAAGCUCCUUACGUAUUGCUAAUCUCGUUCUUGAAGUGAGCCUAAAUAAAAAAACGCUGAUGCGGAGCAUCCUAUGGUCAUCCCCAUGGACCUACCAUCAUCUCACCAAAUGCCAAGAGGACAG